UACGUAGGGGGCAAGCGUUGUCCGGAAUCAUUGGGCGUAAAGCGCGUGUAGGCGGCCCGAUAAGUCCGCUGUGAAAGUCCAGGGCUCAACCCUGGGAUGCCGGUGGAUACUGUCGGGCUCGAGUCCGGAAGAGGCGAGUGGAAUUCCUGGUGUAGCGGUGAAAUGCGCAGAUAUCAGGAAGAACACCCGUGGCGAAAGCGGCUCUCUGGAACGGUACUGACGCUGAGACGCGAAAGCGUGGGGAGCGAACAGG
rnacentral:rRNA from 1 species